rnacentral:rRNA from 1 species
UACGUAGGGUGCGAGCGUUGUUCGGAAUUACUGGGCGUAAAGCGCGCGCAGGCGGCUAUCCAAGUCAGUGGUGAAAGCCCGGAGCUCAACUCCGGAACUGCCAUUGAAACUGUUUAGCUUGAGGAUGAGAGAGGUGAGUGGAAUUCCCAGUGUAGAGGUGAAAUUCGUAGAUAUUAGGAAGAACACCAGUGGCGAAGGCGGCUCACUGGCCCGGUACUGACGCUGAGGUACGAAAGCGUGGGGAGCAAACAGG